UUUUAUAUGUCAAGAAAAUGACGGUAGCAUAUGAAUAAGCACCGGCUAACUCCGUGCCAGCAGCCGCGGUAAUACGGAGGGUGCAAGCGUUAUUCGGAAUCACUGGGCGUAAAGGACGCGUAGGCGGGUUGGCAAGUCAGAUGUGAAAUCCUACAGCUUAACUGUAGAACUGCAUUUGAAACUGCCGACCUAGAGUAUGGGAGGGGGAGAUGGAAUUAGUGGUGUAGGGGUAAAAUCCGUAGAUAUCACUAGGAAUACCGAAAGCGAAGGCGAUCUCCUGGAACAUAACUGACGCUAAGGCGUGAAAGCGUGGGGAGCAAACAGGAUUAGAUACCCUGGUAGUCCACGCCCUAAACGAUGUUCACUAGUCGUCGCUCUGCUAGUCAGGGCGGUGAUGCACUUAACAGAUUAAGUGAACCGCCUGGGGAGUACGGUCGCAAGAUUAAAACUCAAAGGAAUAGACGGGGACCCGCACAAGUGGUGGAGCAUGUGGUUUAAUUCGAAGAUACGCGAAGAACCUUACCUAGCCUUGACAUUGAGAGAACCUGCCAGAGAUGGCGGGGUGCCCUUCGGGGAGCUCGAAAACAGGUGCUGCACGGCUGUCGUCAGCUCGUGUCGUGAGAUGUUGGGUUAAGUCCCGCAACGAGCGCAACCCUCGUCCUUAGUUGCUAGCAGGUUAAGCUGAGCACUCUAAGGAGACUGCCUUCGUAAGGAGGAGGAAGGUGAGGACGACGUCAAGUCAUCAUGGCCCUUAUGGCUAGGGCUACACACGUGCUACAAUGGGGCGUACAGAGUGUUGCGAUACCGCGAGGUGGAGCUAAUCACUUAAAGCGUCUCUCAGUUCGGAUUGGAGUCUGCAACUCGACUCCAUGAAGCUGGAAUCACUAGUAAUCGCAGAUCAGCAAUGCUACGGUGAAUACGUUCCCGGGUCUUGCACACACCGCCCGUC
rnacentral:rRNA from 1 species